rnacentral:rRNA from 1 species
UGAACGCUGGCGGCAUGCCUUACACAUGCAAGUCGAACGGUAACGGGCCUUCGGGUGCCGGACGAGUGGCGAACGGGUGAGUAAUAUAUCGGAACGUACCUUUCAGUGGGGGAUAACGUAGCGAAAGUUACGCUAAUACCGCAUAUUCUGUGCGCAGGAAAGCAGGGGACCUUCGGGCCUUGCGCUGAUUGAGCGGCCGAUAUCAGAUUAGCUAGUUGGUGAGGUAAAGGCUCACCAAGGCGACGAUCUGUAGCGGGUCUGAGAGGAUGAUCCGCCACACUGGAACUGAGACACGGUCCAGACUCCUACGGGAGGCAGCAGUGGGGAAUUUUCGGACAAUGGGGGCAACCCUGAUCCAGCAUGCCGCGUGUGUGAAGAAGGCCUCGGUUGUAAGCACUU